rnacentral:rRNA from 1 species
AUGGGCGGCCUGCUGCUGACUGGGGUGACUGGGGUAGGGAAUAUGUCCGUUCGCAGGUUACUCAAGAAUGGAUUCAGGCAGAAGGUGAUGGUGCGAAAGUGCAGGCACACUCACAGAGUAGGGUUUUACGGGCAGCAGAUGAUGAUGCAGGUUGCAGACACAGUCACAGAGCAGAGUUUUACUGUACAAAUCAGGAACCAUUCGACAGUGCAGGUUGAAGACACGGUCACUGAGCAGAGUUACUGUCCAAAUCAGGAACCAUUAGACAGUGCAGCUUGCAGACAGAGUCACCGAGCAGAUUUUGAGGUGCAUUGA